rnacentral:rRNA from 1 species
CCUACGGGAGGCAGCAGUGAGGAAUAUUGGUCAAUGGACGAGAGUCUGAACCAGCCAAGUAGCGUGAAGGAUGACUGCCCUAUGGGUUGUAAACUUCUUUUGUAUGGGAAUAAAAUGUUCCACGUGUGCGGUUUUGUAUGUUCCAUAUGAAUAAGGAUUGGCGUACUCCGUGCCAGCAGCCGCGGUAAUACGGAGGAACCGAGCGUUAACCGGAUUUUUUGGGGUUAAAGGGAGCGGUGGUGGAUUGUUAAGUCAGUUGUGAAAGUUUGCGGCUCAACCGUAAAAUUGCCGUUGAAACUGGCAGUCUUGAGUACAGUAGAGGAGGGCGGAAUUCGUGGUGGAGCGGUGAAAUGCUUAGAUAUCACGCAGAACUCCGAUUGCGAAGGCAGCUCACUGGACUGCAACUGACACUGAGGCUCGAAAGUGUGGGUAUCAAACAGGAGUAGAUACCCUAGUAGUC